rnacentral:lncRNA from 1 species
AAAAGCUAGAGACAUUUUUUUUUUAACCUCAAAGACCUUGAAGACCUCUCUAGACUACAGCCAUGCAGAUCGGCAGAUAUCAAGAAAUUUUUCAACAGUGAGAGAGGAGGGCAAUGGGCCCUCAUACAUCUACUUGCCAGUGAGAUGCAGAUAAGCACAGCCUCGAUGCAGCCAGUUUGGCUGUAUUUAUAUAACUUUAAAAUGGACAUACCUGGCCAGGCAACAACCCUGACGGGGUUGAGGACCCUGGUUAGCUAAAUAAGUGAGGAAGAGUGGAAACCAGGGACUCCCCAUCCAGACCACCAUCCACCACGGGCCUCUGUUCUUUAGCAGCACCAGAAGAGGCUCCACUCCAAGUCAAGAUUGAAGUGGUAUCUUUAGGUAGGACUGGAAAUUAUAAUUAUUAAAAUGAGACUGAGACCAAGGGUGGCUGGAACAACCUUGUGACUUGCCUAAAUUCCAUUCAGGGGCAAAGCAAGAGCUAGUCCCACCGAAUAAAUGUAAAAGAGGCUGG